rnacentral:rRNA from 1 species
UGCCAGCCGCCGCGGUAAUACGGAGGGGGCAAGCGUUGUUCGGAAUUACUGGGCGUAAAGGGCGCGUAGGCGGGAUGUCAAGUCAGGGGUGAAAGGCCUGGGCUCAACCUGGGAACUGCCUUUGAAACUGACAUUCUGGAGUCCGGGAGAGGAUGGCGGAAUUCCCAGUGUAGAGGUGAAAUUCGUAGAUAUUGGGAAGAACACCGGUGGCGAAGGCAGCUCUCUGGGACGGUACUGACGCUGAGACGCGAAGGCGUGGGUAGCGAACGGGAUUAGAUA